UGGGGAAUAUUGGACAAUGGGCGCAAGCCUGAUCCAGCCAUGCCGCGUGAGUGAUGAAGGCCCUAGGGUUGUAAAGCUCUUUCACCGGUGAAGAUAAUGACGGUAACCGGAGAAGAAGCCCCGGCUAACUUCGUGCCAGCAGCCGCGGUAAUACGAAGGGGGCUAGCGUUGUUCGGAUUUACUGGGCGUAAGCGCACGUAGGCGGACUAUUAAGUCAGGGGUGAAAUCCCGGGGCUCAACCCCGGAACUGCCUUUGAUACUGGUAGUCUUGAGUUCGAGAGAGGUGAGUGGAAUUCCGAGUGUAGAGGUGAAAUUCGUAGAUAUUCGGAGGAACACCAGUAGCGAAGGCGGCUCACUGGCUCGAUACUGACGCUGAGGUGCGAAAGCGUGGGGAGCAAACAGG
rnacentral:rRNA from 1 species